CUUGUCCUACGGGGGGCAGCAGUGAGGAAUAUUGGUCAAUGGGCGAGAGCCUGAACCAGCCAAGUCGCGUGAAGGAUGAAGGAUCUAUGGUUUGUAAACUUCUUUUAUAUGGGAAUAAAGUGAGGAACGUGUUCCUUUUUGUAUGUACCAUAUGAAUAAGCAUCGGCUAACUCCGUGCCAGCAGCCGCGGUAAUACGGAGGAUGCGAGCGUUAUCCGGAUUUAUUGGGUUUAAAGGGUGCGCAGGCGGCACGGCAAGCCGGCGGUCAAAUCGCGGGGCUCAACCCCGCCCAGCCGUCGGAACUGC
rnacentral:rRNA from 1 species